GGGGAAUAUUGCACAAUGGGCGGAAGCCUGAUGCAGCGACGCCGCGUGGGGGAUGACGGCCUUCGGGUUGUAAACCUCUUUCGUCGGGGAAGAAGCCUUUCGGGGUGACGGUACCCGGAGAAGAAGCACCGGCUAACUACGUGCCAGCAGCCGCGGUAAUACGUAGGGUGCGAGCGUUGUCCGGAAUUAUUGGGCGUAAAGAGCUUGUAGGCGGUUUGUCGCGUCUGCGGUGAAAACCUAACGCUUAACGUUGGGCGUGCCGUGGGUACGGGCAGGCUAGAGUGUGGUAGGGGAGACUGGAAUUCCUGGUGUAGCGGUGAAAUGCGCAGAUAUCAGGAGGAACACCGAUGGCGAAGGCAGGUCUCUGGGCCAUAACUGACGCUGAGAAGCGAAAGCAUGGGGAGCGAAC
rnacentral:rRNA from 1 species